rfam:Ictidomys tridecemlineatus contig070109, whole genome shotgun sequence.
GGGGUUGUGGCUCAGCGGUAGAGCGCUUGCCUUGCACGCACAAGGCCCUGGGUUCGAUCCUCAGUACCA